rnacentral:tRNA from 1 species
GCCGGUGUAGCCCAACGGCAGAGGCAUCACGUUUAGGGCGUGAUCAGUGCGGGUUCGAAUCCCGCCGCCGGCA